rnacentral:rRNA from 1 species
AUUCCUACGGGGGGCAGCAGUCGAGAAUCAUUCACAAUGGCCGGAAGGCUGAACCAGCCAAGCCGCGUGAAGGACGAAGGUGCCAAGCAUUGUAAACUUCUUUUGUCAAGGGACAAAAUCAGGCUCGAGAGCCUGACCGAGGGUACUUGAAGAAAAAGCAUCGGCUAACUCCGUGCCAGCAGCCGCGGUAAUACGGAGGAUGCGAGCGUUAUCCGGAUUUAUUGGGUUUAAAGGGUGCGUAGGCGGACUGUUAAGUCAGCGGUAAAAGCCCGGGGCUCAACCCCGGCGAGCCGCUGAAACUGGCU